UGCCUGUCCUGACAGGAGUGGUCCUGACCUGUUCAGUUGGAGCAGUCUUCUAAAUUUGUAUCCUGAAAUAAUUACACACAUCCAGGAAAGUUCCAGAGUCCUGAUAAGGGAUCCCCAGAUGCAACUUGAAGCACAACUGUACCGUCAGAACCAGUGCCACAUAGAAUGUCCUUCAGAGCUCCGUUACGUGAGUGGAUGGAUGGUGCUGUGAGCUUCAGGCUUUGUUCAUAUGGUGUCGGCUUCUCAGCAAAAGUAAUUUUGUUUGUCCGGGAUGCUGAAUUGACGAGCAAGUAUUUCUGUGAGAAAAUCUAACCAAAAAGAAAAAAAAAAACAAAAAACAAAAAAACAAAAAACAAAACAAAACAAAAACCUGAUUGCUUGGCACCUUCUUCCACUGUAAUUUAAGUACUUGAAGACAUUUUUGACUGAUAUAUGGUGGGCAAUUUACACCAACAUACUAAGUAUAUUAGUCUAGAAACUUAGACCCCUAAACAGCCUGCCAUGUGCAAACAUGUACAAACCUAUACAAAUGGGGAAAUGACCAGUCAUAUAUUAAUUUUUAAUUAAUUAUUAUUAGAAAUGGGCAGGCUAUAAUUAUUAUUAGCAAUAGGAUACGUUCCAAGAUGGACAGGUUUCGAGGAGGAGGGCUCUGAAAGAGGAGUGUGUUGAAAGACGACCUGGUCCUGAGUCCCAGUGUCUGCCUUGGUACCAAUGGGCCUUCUUCUCCCAGGGGUGGACCUCAGCUCGCUGCGCCAGAUAAAGCUGCAGCGACCCCUGAGUAUGCUAACGGACGUCAGGCACUUCCUGUCUUCAGGCGGAGAUGUCAACGAGAAAAAUGAUGAUGGAGUGACCCUGGUGAGUCCACACACAUGUCUCAGAAAUCAUUUACGUAGGGAAUUAAAGUUCAUUCUAACGCAUGUAAUUGGGUACAGUUUACUGUUCAAAAGAUGUUUCAACUUAAAAUAAUACACAUAUACUCUUUGAAGAUAUGUUGGAAAGUGUAAGUAUGUAAAAAAAAAAAAAACAAAAUAUUUUACCAGGGCCUAGAGAGGGCUUGUGAAAAUGUGUUUUUAUUUUUUCAGCCGUUUCUCCCUAUGCCACUCUUAAAGAUUUAAAAUAAAUGUUAUGCGCUCUCCAUGGACCAGGAAUCUGCAGGGCGUCCGGCUUCCUUUCCAGGGUUUCCUUUAGUUUUGCUGUUGGUUGAGUUACUGGGCAAGACACAGUGGCUUGAAAGGACAGUACUCCAAGCACGGUCUGCAUGGCCUUGGUGACAGGGCUUACAGACACCACUGCACAUUGCUCUAAACAUCUGUCCCACCUGUUCAAAGUUCUGUCUGUGUCACCCAGGAGGAGGUGGCCAGAGCCCUUCAGUCCACCUUGUGACUAGAUACAUUGUUUCUGUUGUGACUUAAGUGGCACUAGUGCUGGACCCACUCCUCAACACUUUACCCAUCAGCCCUGCAAUGUCCGUUUUAGCUUAGAUUCUAGGCUUCUAGGCUUCCCUAUGACUGGAAAGAAAACCUAUAGGAGCUACCUGCUUGGGCUAUUUGUACCCCAUCCAUAAUCCUCUGGGCAUCCGGUUACUUCUCAUUCAGAGACACUCGAGUGCUGCUGCAUGCAGGUGUGUAACCCGUCCUAAAGCGUUCUUAGUCAGCUCGGAAGACUCUUGGAUCCCUACCUUAACCCCGAGUGGCACCUCUCAUCACUAAACUAUACCUAGGACAGGCAGUUUGGCUGAGACAGACAAUAACGUUUCCCCAACACCCCAGGAGCCCCCAGAAUACCUGCAACACAUUUCCUGCUUCUACUUUUGAAUCACCCUGUUCAGCACCAGGGGCGGUCCACGAGUCUGAGAGCCCCUCUGCAGAUCUUUGACAGGUGGGCAGGAGGCAUUAACCCUGCGUUUAGUGGGAUAGCACCUUCAGCAGCUCAGGUGACUGUUGAAGGAGCUCAUGGGGAGCAGGAGUUACCAGGGAAAGUGCACAUGGGCAUAGAGAAACAAUGGAAAAACAUGAUUUCUUCACAAUCCUUAGUGCUUCUUUCACGAUGUGCCAAUGACGAUUUACACAAAAUAAUAAAAGUACAUACCCACACUUUUUAAAUUCCAUACUGUCGUGUUUCAGAUCCAAUGCUUUACUAAAUAGUUCAGCCUACACUAUUGAACAGAAUAAUGGUGUGACUACUUUUUCCACACUGGAAGAAUAACAAAUCCGCCCGUGUUUCAGCUGCACAUGGCGUGUGCCAGUGGGUAUAAAGAGGUGGUAUUGCUUCUCCUGGAACACGGUGGAGACCUCAAUGGGACAGACGACAGGUACUGGACACCCCUGCACUUAGCAGCCAAGUAUGGCCAGGUAAGCCAGUUUUCUAAAUCCUUCCUGAAAUCUUAUUUAACAAUUAACGAAAGAACGCUUUAUACUUAAUUUUGAUUUGCUUCCAACUUAUAUGCUACUCAUUCUAUAGUUUGAUUCCUAAUGGUGUCAUCUUACUAUCCAAGUAAUUUAAUAAGAAAACUUACUUUCCCAAGGGCACAGGAAAUUUCUCCCCCCUUGAGCUCUGAACAUCACAGCUGAGCUCACUGGAGAAGCACUCAGCAGCUGUAACCGCCCUUCACAGCGUUAACGCAGUUUUCAUACUGCAAUGUGGUGGGCCAAUUACGCGAGUCUCUUAGCGUUCAGUCUGUUUUCUGCACUUUGUAUAUCUAAAGUGAAGUUACAUUUUAUAUCCCAUUCUACUCUGCAAAUUACACUUCAUUUUAAUGAAUAAAAGAUGUUGAACUAACACCGUGCUGCUGUGACCAAUUACACAAGAACAGCACCUUCAAUGACUAGAUAUUUGUUUUGGCUCAAGGACGUUGAAGGGUAAGUCCAUAGCUUCCUGGGUCCACACACUCAGGCAGAACACAGUGGUAGCGGAAGCAUUUGACACCGGAGUAUCUUCACUGUACAUUCCCAAACUGCCUGUUCCAACCCCAUAGGCGAAUUGAAGAGCUAUAGGAAAAUGCUUCUCUCUGACUUAAAAUAAUUACAAUCAAAAAAGAAUGAGAAAAUGGACAGAGCAGAAUCUUGACCCCCACAUAUUGGUAUGUCAGUGUGUGAUAGGUGUGAUAUUUCAACAAAGAACUCAGUUUACAGAUUUGCCUCCUUCAAGAAAUGCAGCUAAUGAUCACAGCUCCCCAGAAACAGCUUACCCCAGCCUGGAAGCCAACUGCUCUCUCUGUACAAAUAGCAAAACUUUUCACGCAGUGUGUCCCAGCUCAAGGCUGCACUAGGCAUGCACUCUUGGCGUGGAGGUGGUGACCUGAGACCCUGAUCUGAUACCUUGUGGUCCAGUGAGACUCUCAGGCAGCAGAGCCUGAGGCCACAGGCUUCGGUCUCUACCGACCCGACCCACCUGAUCUGUCUACUCACACGGGCUUCCUGGCUGCACGUGCACAUGAGGAGCAUGUCAACUAGCUGUGCUGUCCAAUAACUAAUCUGGUCUAACUAAUAAGUGCUAGAAAGGAAAGCAUUGUUCUUGUUUAAGAAGGCUUUCCAGAGAGAUGUGUUUCCUUUCCUGCUGGGGGUAGAAGUGCUUUUCAGUAUUUCAACAAUCAUAUUGCUCAUUUUUUUAGACAAAUAUUUUCUACACUCUUUGAUUUCUGAGACAUUUAAACAGUAUAUAUUUUCUGAAUGUGAUUUUAUUCCAAACUAUCUUUUUCAUUAAUUAAUUUAUGUAUUCACUUUGCAGCUUUUCUCCUCCUCCUAUUUCCCCCCUUACGGAACCCCUCCUCUUCUCCUCUGAAAAGAGGGAAAACCAACUGGCUACCCCUCCACACACACACACAUACACCGUGGCACAUCAAGUCACUGUAGGACUAGGCACAUCCUCUCCCAUUGAGGCCAGACAAGGCAGCCCAGUUAGUGGAGCAGGAUCCACAGGCAGGCAACAGAAUCAGGUUCAGCCCCUGCUCCAGGUGUUGGGGAACCCACAUGAAAACCAAGCUGCACUUGUGCUAUAGAUGUGUACAGGGCCUAGGUCCAGCCCAUGUAUCCUCUUUGGUUGGUGGUUUGGCCUCUGGGAGCCCCCAAAGGUCUAGGUUACUCCAAACUAUUUUAAACAGUUUAGCUUAAAUAUCUUUGUACAGGGAGCUUGAUAUUAUGGCUAGUGAGACUAACAACAUAGUAUGUGCGUUCUGGAACCAGAUAGUUUCUGUGACUUGGAUGAAUGGCUAAAGAGAAUU
rnacentral:lncRNA from 1 species